rnacentral:tRNA from 1 species
GUGGUUGUGGCUAAGUGGUAGAGCACUCAUCUACCACAUGUGAGGCCCUGGGUUUGAUCCUCAAUACCACA